rnacentral:rRNA from 1 species
UGGCGGACGGGUGAGUAACGCGUAAAGAACUUGCCCUUUAGACUGGGAUAACAGAGGGAAACUUCUGAUAAUACUGGAUAAGUUAGUAUAUCGCAUGAUAUGCAAAUGAAAGCUACGGCACUAAAGGAGAGCUUUGCGUCCUAUUAGCUAGUUGGUAAGGUAAGAGCUUACCAAGGCGAUGAUAGGUAGCCGGCCCUGAGAGGGUGGACGGCCACAAGGGGACUGAGAUACGGCCCUUACUCCUACGGGAGGCAGCAGAU